rnacentral:rRNA from 1 species
UGAGGAAUCUUCCACAAUGGGGGCAACCCUGAUGGAGCAACGCCGCGUGCAGGAUGAAGGCCUUCGGGUUGUAAACUGCUUUUAUUUGUGAAGAAUAUGACGGUAACAAAUGAAUAAGGGUCGGCUAACUACGUGCCAGCAGCCGCGGUCAUACGUAGGACCCAAGCGUUAUCCGGAGUGACUGGGCGUAAAGAGUUGCGUAGGUGGUUUAUCAAGUGAAUAGUGAAAUCUGGUGGCUCAACCAUACAGGCUAUUAUUCAAACUGAUAAACUCGAGAAUGGUAGAGGUAACUGGAAUUUCUUGUGUAGGAGUGAAAUCCGUAGAUAUAAGAAGGAACACCAAUGGCGUAGGCAGGUUACUGGACCAUUUCUGACACUAAGGCGCGAAAGCGUGGGGAGCGAACG